rnacentral:pre_miRNA from 1 species
UCGCGGGCAAAUUGAAUGCGCGCUUGUCGAUGGCGGGUCGUCAAUUUCGGGCCUGUGG